GCCCUGUGGUUACUGGUCCUGUUGUUCCCGUGCAGUGCCCCAGUGUGAAUAAGGGCAAACAGUAACACUGUGAUAUUUUGCAUGAGGUCUCCUUGUUUUUAGCGGCCCUCAUAGCCCGGUCACAGUGACAUUA